GAUGAAGAACGCAGUGAAAUGCGAUAAGUAAUGUGAAUUGCAGAAUUCAGUGAAUCAUCGAAUCUUUGAACGCACAUUGCGCCCCCUGGUAUUCCGGGGGGCAUGCCUGUUCGAGCGUCAUUUCACCACUCAAGCCUCGCUUGGUAUUGGGCGACGCGGUCCGCCGCGCGCCUCAAAUCGACCGGCUGGGUCUUUCGUCCCCUCAGCGUUGUGGAAACUAUUCGCUAAAGGGUGCCGCGGGAGGCCACGCCGUAAAACAACCCCAUUUCUAAGGUUGACCUCGGAUCAGGUAGGGAUACCCGCUGAACUUAAGCAUAUCAAUAAGCGGAGGA
rnacentral:misc_RNA from 1 species